rnacentral:tRNA from 1 species
GCGGUUGUGGCGUAAUUGGUAGCCGCGCCAGAUUUAGGAUCUGGUGUCGUAAGACGUGUGGGUUCGAGUCCCUUCAGCCGCAC